ensembl:snRNA U2 U2 spliceosomal RNA
CUUGCUUCUCGGCCUUUUGGCUAAGAUCAAGUGUAGUAUCUGUUCUUGGCGUGAGGUGGGGGAUGUAUCUGCCCCCUCCUCACCGCUGGGCGGAGAGGCACUUGAUCCUCU